GUCAGGAUGAACGCUAGCGGCAGGCUUAACACAUGCAAGUCGAGGGGCAUCGGGAGUAGCAAUACUUGCCGGCGACCGGCGCAAGGGUGCGUAACGCGUGAGCAACAUGCCCGUAUCAGGGGGAUAAUCCAUGGAAACGUGGUCUAAUACCCCAUAGUAAUUAUGUAAGGCAUCUUAUAUAAUUUAAAGCUUUGGUGGAUACGGAUUGGCUCGCGUGACAUUAGCUGGAUGGUAAGGUAACGGCUUACCAUGGCUACGAUGUCUAGGGGUUCUGAGAGGAAGGUCCCCCCACACUGGAACUGAGACACGGUCCAGACUCCUACGGGAGGCAGCAGUGAGGAAUAUUGGACAAUGGAUGGAAAUCUGAUCCAGCCAUGCCGCGUGCAGGAAAAGACGGCCCUAUGGGUUGUAAACUGCUUUUGUAUGGGAGCAAUAAGGGCUACGUGUAGUCCGAUGAGAGUACCAUACGAAUAAGCACCGGCUAACUCCGUGCCAGCAGCAGC
rnacentral:rRNA from 1 species